GGUUCCUUGGUGUGAUGGUGAGCACUCUGGACUCUGAAUCCAACGAUACGAGUUCAAGUUUCGGUGGAACCU
rfam:Loxodonta africana unplaced genomic scaffold scaffold_60, whole genome shotgun sequence.